UCUCUGCUGGUAUUGUCUCAGGUAUGUUUUAGCCUUGAUUUUUAGCCAGGAAAUACGUUGUAGCACAGCUUUUCAGACACCUGGACUAUCGCAGAGAAGAAGGAUAGAAUGCUGAGGCACUCAAAAUAUACUACCUGGCUUUUUCAUUGCCGAGUUAAAUGACACUGAUGUGCGGCAAGAUCAGCGAUCAGUAAUUGAAUCUAAUCUCUUAGCUAAAGGCAGUCCGUUAUGCAGUGGAGAGCUGGGAGGAACUGAGUUGGCACUCCAGAAAAGUCCUUGUGUCCUCACUGCCUCUGUUUGGGGACAUCUGGAAGCCUGAGGAAAGAUUCAGGAUCUUUUUGCGUGCAUGGCAGCAUGCUGCAGGAGUGCUGGGGAAGACAAGACCAGAGGUCACAAGGAGCAGGAGUAGAAACUUCACAGCACGUCACCUGCAUGCUGCCAAGCAUUUUUAGGUGUCGGGGAAAGGUCUUCAGGUGAGAACAAGGGCAGCAAAUCCCAACGGGAAGGGAAAAGCUGCAUCAUUUGCAUUCCCAAAACUGUGAGCGUGGGUUCUGCCAGCACAGCGAGGAGCUGGUGGGGAAGAGGCAGCAGGGCUGAAGGGAGAACGACUUCAAACAGCAGUUUUGCAGAUGCCAACUUUAGCGUGCAGGGCAUACUGGACAAUCCAGUGCUGGAAACAAACUGCUGUUGAAUCUGCAGCUUGCACAGAUAACGCUGCUUAAUCUCGUGCUGCCUCCUCGCCAAGCAACCCACAGUUUUCAUGCUUCAAAACCAGGGAGGAAUCCACUCAGUCUCUCUUUCACGUAUUUACACUCACAAACUGCAGCGAGCAGACUGAGCGCCCUGGCCGAGACCAUCUUAUCUCCUGUGCUCCCAGCUGCCGUGCGAGGGCAGUGUUAGCUCGCUGUGCUGGGUGCCCAUGGGCUGGGGAUCGCUCCCCAUCCCAGGGUGGCUGCUGGGCAGGGGCUGCCUGGGCUUGUCAGGUACUGGAAGUGAAGUGAUGCUGCAGUGGGAUGUGAAGACCAUAAAAAUGGUUGGUUUGUUGGUUUUCUUGUUGGUUUUUUUGUUGUUGUUGUUUUUUUGUUUUUUCCCUGCUGGAGAUUGAAAUUGAACAUGUCUGAUUGUCUGUGUGAGCCCUCCUGCAGCCUCAUUGCUGUGCUGAUGGAAACCAGGCUCCGGUUUUCCGCUCCUCAGCAGAAAGGGCAGCACAGAGGACUGGGGAAAAAUGCAAAAUACGUUUAAUGGUUUUGUGCUUUAGAGAUGUGAUUGAGCAGAGCACGUUGAGGGUGGAGGAAGAGCCUCAGGGCUUGUGUUUGCUCUUUUUUUUUCUUAUUUUUUUAAUUUAUUUCCUUGUAUCCAAUAAGAGGUGACUGUGCAGCUCUGCCAACACUCAAUCUCACUUUGCCAAGUGAGAUCUCUUAUCCUUGCAAGCAGCACUGGCUUCUUUCCUAAGUACCUCAAAGCCCCCUAAUAUGCUUUUACUUAAUUGUUUUUUGAAUAUUUUCCAGGAUCUGCUUCCUCAGCAGAGAGCACCAAGGUGGAAGCACAGCUGCCCAUGCAGGGGAAAGCAGUGACUGCAAGGCAGGGUGGUCAGGACCUGAAUUUCUCAUGCAAAAGAACAAACAGGCAGAAAAAAAGGGAACUUGACAAGUAAAGAUGCUUGCUGUGGAGAAUGCUUACUGACCCCACCCCGAGCACUGCUCUUAGAGGACAGCUCCACUGCCCUGUGUGCCCGUGUGGCUCUUGCUGGAGGCUGCAGCAGUGCUGAGCUGAGUUCCAGCCUGCUGAUGGUACCCACAGGCACCCCAUACAUCUCCCUAUGCUGUGCCACUGCAUCGGUGCCGCUCCCCUUCCCACACUGUG